rnacentral:rRNA from 1 species
CCGACGACCGGCGCACGGGUGCGUAACGCGUAUGCAAUCUACCUUAUACUGGAGGAUAGCCCAGAGAAAUUUGGAUUAACACUUCAUAGUAUGUUUACCUCGCAUGGGGAAAACAUUAAAGGUUACGGUAUAAGAUGAGCAUGCGUCCUAUUAGCUAGAUGGUGUGGUAACGGCACACCAUGGCAUCGAUAGGUAGGGGCCCUGAGAGGGGGAUCCCCCACACUGGUACUGAGACACGGACCAGACUCCUACGGGAGGCAGCAGUGAGGAAUAUUGGACAAUGGAGGCAACUCUGAUCCAGCCAUGCCGCGUGCAGGAAGACUGCCCUAUGGGUUGUAAACUGCUUUUAUACGGGAAGAAACGGCUCUACGUGUAGAGCUUUGACGGUACCGUAAGAAUAAGGAUCGGCUAACUCCGUGCCAGCAGCCGCGGUAAUACGGAGGAUCCAAGCGUUAUCCGGAAUCAUUGGGUUUAAAGGGUCCGUAGGUGGAUAAUUAAGUCAGAGGUGAAAGUCUGCGGCUCAACCGUAGAAUUGCCUUUGAAACUGGUUAUCUUGAAUUAUUAUGAAGUAGUUAGAAUAUGUAGUGUAGCGGUGAAAUGCAUAGAUAUUACAUAGAAUACCAAUUGCGAAGGCAGAUUACUAAUAAUAUAUUGACACUGAUGGACGAAAGCGUGGGGAGCGAACGGGAUUAGAUACCCCGGUAGUCCACGCCGUAAACGAUGGAUACUAGCUGUUCGGACUUCGGUCUGA